GUAGCUCAGUUGGAUAGAGCAUCGGCCUUCUAAGCCGAGGGUCGCUGGUUCGAAUCCUGCC
rnacentral:tRNA from 1 species